CGUUUAACAUUCGAUAGAAUAUGGUUUGAUAAAGAUCAUUUUACAUUAUCUUAAAUAACGUAACGAUUCGAUUGUAAUCGCGGUUUGCAGUUUUACUUAUCAUGAAAACUGACUGUUAAGAAUUUGACAAAUUUGAAAGCGACUGGCGACACAGUCGAUACGUGUCAUCGAUUGCAUCAUCUUAAAAAGAUGGCUGUUCCUUUCUGCUUGGAAACAGUUAUGCGGAAAUACAUCAAUAGGUUGUUAAGCUAUUUCAUACAUUAUUUACGUUAAACAUUUAAAAUACUUUCAAUAGAAACAUCAUAAUUCGAAUAAUCUGUGAUUAAAUCUCGAUUAUUGAUUAGAAAAUAAAAUUUAUAUAAAUAGAAAUGUUCUAAGUAAAUGCAAGUUGAAAUUAUUUGAACAGUGUCUGCGCUACCAUCUACCGACAAUUAGGAGAAUACAUAGAAAUUGAAAAACGUGGGAGGGUAAAACGUUUAGAAUUACUGCAAAAAGAUGCUGGAAAUAUCAAAUGAUCAUCGGUAAAUCAAUUUUCAAUUCAAGAAUAGCAGGUAUGAGAAUUUUAAACACGGACGUCUGCAUACCACGCUGAAUCAUUCGGCAAUCCUCAGGACAAGUCCGUGCAGGCAGUGACCUGUAGUCACUGUUCAAUGCAAAGUGUUUUAUAUUUUGAUAAUAAGAUAGAG